UUACCACAUCCAGCCUAAGUUGUGCGUCAGCGAACAGUAAUACAACACUUCAUGUUUGAAGUGUGACGAAGCAGAUAUGUUGCUAGACUAGUGGGACUACCAUGGAAAUAAUUCGAAUUGAUUUUAUUCAGUUGAUCCUAAUUCGUUAUCUCAUGCGAAUGCCUUCAACAUCUGCGGGCUCACACAAGAAUAUUGCAAAUUUUAUUAUUCUGUUGUAAAAUCACUUGUAGGUUUUCUAAAUAAAGCUUUGUGGAAGGGAUGGUGGUGAAGGGAGAGUGAUAGCGCCAUGGUAACAGUGAUGUACUCACGAGGUAUACACAAUAUUGUGUAACAUACGCAGGCUGGUUACCCCAUACUGUAAUCUACUUCCCUUGUUUCACAAAAAAGAUAAUAUGGUUUCGUUUAUGUGGAUAUUUCUUUCGAAGGAUGAAGGUGAAUGAGACGUUCAUGUCAGUGAGUACAGAAAAUCAGGAACGUUAGGAGUGAUGAAAGGUUACUACGCAGUGCCACGGACGAGUUACACAAGUGUUUUGACCUGCAGCAGGUGUCCCAGUCCACGUCACACACACACACACACACACACACACACACACACACACACACAGUGAAGAGGCGGGGCCAGGAGAUAUGACUCGACCCCUGCAACCACAAAUAGGUCAACGGCGCCAUUUAGCCAUGGAGGUCAAGAAUAGUGGCGCCACUAGUCAUUCCUCUGCCAUCCACCACACCAUCAACACCUCCAGCUUUUCCAGUUCCAUCACCUUUGAUAUUGUUUUGGGGUGUUGCUGCUGGUGAUACCUGAAGACUUGCCGCUGCCCACAACGUGGACUUCACCACACAGCCGCUGCCCACAACGUGGACUUCACCACACAGCCGCUGCCCACAACGUGGACUUCAC